rnacentral:rRNA from 1 species
UCAUGCAAGUUGAGCGAGCGCCACCAACAAAUUUACUUCUACAAUCACGCUGAUAAACCGAGCGGCGAUUGCUUGACUAACACGUGCGCCAACCUGCCCCAGCUGAGGUACGAAUUGCUUUACAGGUGCUAAUUCCCACCUGUUUCGCAGAUCGCUCCCUCACUUUUUGACAGGUGCCCCACGCUGUACUCACCCAUCGGCCCCGCGCUUUCUUAACGUCAUUACCGAAGUAAAUCUGACCAAUCCGCUCAUGCAAAUUCGAUGUGAGAGACUGAUCGCCCACGUUGGUCCUGAGCCAUGAUCAAACUCUCUACGGGAGGCAGCAGUAGGGAAUCUUCCACAAUGGACGCAAGUCUGAUGGAGCAACGCCGCGUGAGUGAAGAAGGUUUUCGGAUCGUAAAGCUCUGUUGUUGGUGAAGAAGGAUAGAGGUAGUAACUGGCCUUUAUUUGACGGUAAUCAACCAGAAAGUCACGGCUAACUACGUGCCAGCAGCCGCGGUAAUACGUAGGUGGCAAGCGUUGUCCGGAUUUAUUGGGCGUAAAGCGAGCGCAGGCGGAAAAAUAAGUCUAAUGUGAAAGCCCUCGGCUUAACCGAGGAACUGCAUCGGAAACUGUUUUUCUUGAGUGCAGAAGAGGAGAGUGGAACUCCAUGUGUAGCGGUGGAAUGCGUAGAUAUAUGGAAGAACACCAGUGGCGAAGGCGGCUCUCUGGUCUGCAACUGACGCUGAGGCUCGAAAGCAUGGGUAGCGAACAGGAUUAGAUACCCUGGUAGUCCAUGCCGUAAACGAUGAGUGCUAAGUGUUGGGAGGUUUCCGCCUCUCAGUGCUGCAGCUAACGCAUUAAGCACUCCGCCUGGGGAGUACGACCGCAAGGUUGAAACUCAAAGGAAUUGACGGGGGCCCGCACAAGCGGUGGAGCAUGUGGUUUAAUUCGAAGCAACGCGAAGAACCUUACCAGGUCUUGACAUCUAGUGCAAUCUGUAGAGAUACGGAGUUCCCUUCGGGGACGCUAAGACAGGUGGUGCAUGGCUGUCGUCAGCUCGUGUCGUGAGAUGUUGGGUUAAGUCCCGCAACGAGCGCAACCCUUGUUAUUAGUUGCCAGCAUUAAGUUGGGCACUCUAAUGAGACUGCCGGUGACAAACCGGAGGAAGGUGGGGAUGACGUCAAGUCAUCAUGCCCCUUAUGACCUGGGCUACACACGUGCUACAAUGGGCAGUACAACGAGAAGCAAGCCUGCGAAGGCAAGCGAAUCUCUGAAAGCUGUUCUCAGUUCGGACUGCAGUCUGCAACUCGACUGCACGAAGCUGGAAUCGCUAGUAAUCGCGGAUCAGCACGCCGCGGUGAAUACGUUCCCGGGCCUUGUACACACCGCCCGUCACACCAUGGGAGUCUGCAAUGCCCAAAGCCGGUGGCCUAACCUUCGGGAAGGAGCCGUCUAAGGCAAGGCAA